rnacentral:rRNA from 1 species
CCCUUAGAUGUUCUGGGCCGCACGCGCGCUACACUGACGAAUGCAACGAGCUUAUAACCUUGGCCGAAAGGUCUGGGUAAUCUCCAAAUUUCGUCGUGAUGGGGAUAGAUUAUUGCAAUUAUUAAUCUUCAACGAGGAAUGCCUAGUAAGCGCAAGUCAUCAGCUUGCGUUGAUUACGUCCCUGCCCUUUGUACACACCGCCCGUCGCUCCUACCGAUUGAAUGGUCCGGUGAAGCGUUCGGACCGUGGCCUUUGGACGGUUCGCCGUCUGUUGGCUGCGGGAAGUUCGUUAAACCUUAUCAUGUAGAGGAAGGAGAANUCGUAACA